CCCCAUCACUCAGCUCUGCUGUGGAACCACUUGACACUAUUGAGGACAGCUAACAAUCAUGCCCCAAUGAACUGUUAGCUGAACAGGAGAGUCUCCUUUACUGCUACUGUGACUGUGUGUGUAUGGCAGCAGUCUUACCGUUACUGGGACGGAGUGUGUAUGGCUGUGUGAGAGAGAGUGUGCAUGUGUCCGAGUGUGUGACUGAGAGAGGUGAGAGGGGCGUUUGGACUGAAUUUUACUCACUUUUGAAUUGGCCAUUUGAACUCUGAUAAGAAGAACUGCUGUAUAACACAAAGGGAAUGCCUUAAGGGACCACAGAGAUAUUUUCAUUGAAGCUGUGCAUGAUGCAGGCCAUCCUCUGCUUUGUUCUGGCUAAGAUGGCGGCCCUGUACGCUUGUCCCAUUCUCUAAGAGAGCGGGAGGGGGAGAGAGAGAUACUACGACAGAGGUGUCCUGCCCUCGCGCCCAAGCCCACACCACCCCUCACCGCUCUCCUGCCUGACCUGCCUGCCACUGGCCAGUCCUGCUCUAUCACACCCUGAAACCUGCAUCAGCCUGCACACCACACUGACUCGGAGCCAAUGGAGGGUUGCCAGAUCUGCCAUCUCCUGUGGUGUAUGCUGCUACUUCUGGGGGCGUCCGUUAAUGUGCGCGCAUCAGACGAUGCAACUGAGACCACACCCAACACAGUCCACAGCACCACCAUCAAGCCUUUGGAUGACUCCAGCCCAACGAACACCGCCGGCCUGCCAGACUCUGAGCCCCCCUCUGACAUCGUUGCCCCUUCUAGCAGCCCUGACAUUUGGGGCUGCUUCAGGUGGGUGGAGUGGAAGGCAGGAGUGCUGAUUGGUGGAGCUAUGCUGGUCUUCACCCUUCUGGGCUCCACGGUAGGUCUGGCGGUCUGGGUAUGUCAACUCAAACGGCAGGCCAGUGGAGGGCGCCCCACCCGGACCAAUGCAGACCUGGUCAGUGGGAUGGGGUACCCCAGCUCCUCCCGGGUGGUCAGCAGUGGACACAGGGAAGCUAGCCUCAAGAUGGAGGAGGUGCAGCCAGCAGAGGUGGUGGUGGAGGAGACAGCAGGGAUGGGCACGUGUACAAUCGGCAAACAAGAUGAUUCUGGAAACGGGGAGGCAGACAGGGGGAGUUCCGCCCACAUUGACACAGCCAGCCAAUCCCCUGCUGGACCCUCCAAGGAGGAAGUUGAGGUUCUGGUGGUGGUAUAGCCGCAUCCAUGCUAAGAUGGUGGGAGGGUUGGGGCUUAAUGACCAUGUUGACCUCCAUGAGCUGAAGAAUGGGGUGACCGUCACCCCUGCUUUCAAUGUUGGCUUCCGUUUCAAGGCUUUCGUCCUCCAAAAUCGUUCACUUACCUUUACACGGUUCAGAGAUUUUGGAUUUUGGAGAGGUUUUUACAUUUUUAAUUGUUUGAUUUCUGUCCUGUUUCUUUUUCCCAAUAUUCAGUGCCCAAUGCAGGCAGAUUUUAUUCUGCUUAAAACUGUGCUGCAACUGGGGCUCCCGUAUGGACAAGCUUUCAUUUGUAAAAUGGAGUACUUAUGCUGUUCAUUAUACAGUAAUGUACUACUGUAUAAAGCAAAGAUGGUCAUAUACCAGCCAGAUUUAAGCAGAUAUUUUUUUUGUGACUGUCACUUUAGGUAAGUGAUCUUUUUCCAUCCUGUUCCUCUUACAAUUAACUCCCUGUAAUUACACACUUACCAUCUGGAUUCUACAUUUUAUUACACAGGAGGCUUGCUUUUCCUGUUUUAAUCUCACUGACACACUUUGAAAUAAUUUAUGCAUUUUACUGUACCACAAACAAACAAGUUAUUGUUAGGUGUAAUGCAGGUUCUUGGCUGGGUUUAUCAUCUGUGUAAACCUUCACUGUACAAGACUGCCAGUGCAAAUUAUUGCUGUACAAUGGAACAUUUCUUCAACAUUUUUUGUGAAUAAUUUUAAAAGGGUUGUAUCAUUAACAAAUGGACAUCCAAAGCUAUUAACUGAUAGCUGUAAUAACAAAAGAACAAUGGAUGAGAAAUGUGUGUGAGUGAUUUAUUCAAAGUAAUUAUGGUUUUAAAGAACAUGAUGCUUGAAUGGGGAAAUUUUGUUUCAAUCUAUCAUCUAAGUAUGUGCUCCUAAUGUUUUAACAGUACCAAUAUACUUAUGAAUGUUCUUACCACACUUUAACUGUUCAAAUGAAAUGUCAUGUCCAUAGGAAAAAAAUAGCUGUUAAUUUGUUUUCUAGUUGCUUAAAAAUAAAUAAAAUCUUUCAGUUCUCAUA